CAACUACUCCCUUUGUCCCAAAUUUCUUGUCUUAGAUUUGUCUAGAUAUGGAUGUAUCUAAUACUAAAAUGUAACUUGAUACAUCCGUAGCUAGACAAAUCUAAGAUAAGAAUUUUGGGACGGAGGGAGUACUUU
rnacentral:pre_miRNA from 1 species